GGGACCUAGUGGGGUACAGACGGGAAGUUGCCCCUGCCAGCGAGGCGGAUCGCUCGGGUGGAGGCCACGCGCCACCCCGAGGCUGCACAGGCCGCGCGGAGGGAGCCGGGGCGUCGCCAGCCUGGGGUCGGGAGCCGCAGACCGGGAGGCACCGGGCGGACUGAGGAUUUGUGGGUGGAAGGCAGGCAUGGUCAGAACCGUUUCCCUGGCAGGAAAGCGGAGACAGGACGUGUCCCUCUCCACGUCUCUCAGCCAGUGAACGCUGCCAAGCUGGAGCCCAAAGCCAGGUGUCCUGACGCCCACCGGGGGGCUCCCUGCACCCACCAUGAGCCGCCUGCUCUGGAGGAAGGUGGCCGGCGCCAACGUCGGACCAGGCCUGGUUCCAGCUCCGGGACGUUGGGUCUCCAGCUCCGCCUCCGACCCCGUCCCCAGCGACGGGCCGCCGCCGCCGCAGCCUGUGCCAUCCUCGGUGGGCGGGCAGCUGCGGCACAACCCCUUGCACAUCCAAAUGCUCUCGAGAGGGCUCCACGAGCAGAUCUUCGGGCCCGGCGGGGAGAGGCCCGACGAGGCCGCGGUGCGCCGCAGCGUGGAGCACCUGCAGAAGCACGGGCUCUGGGGGCAGCCGGCCACGCCCUUGCCCGACGUGGAGCUGCGCCUGCCGCCCCUCCUCGGGGGCAGCCUGGACCAGCACUUCCGCCUCCUGGCGCAGAAGCAGAGCCUGCCCUACCUGGAGGCGGCCAACUCGCUCUUGCAGGCGCAGCUGCCCCCGCGGCCCCCGAGCUGGGCCUGGGCGGAGGGCUGGACCCGGUACGGCCCCGCGGGGGAGGCCGAACCCGUGGCCAUCCCCGAGGAGCGGGCCCUGGUGUUCGACGUGGAGGUCUGCUUGGCAGAGGGAACCUGCCCCACGUUGGCGGUGGCCAUAUCCCCCUCGGCCUGGUAUUCCUGGUGCAGCCGGCGGCUGGUGGAAGAGCGUUACUCUUGGACCAGCCAGCUGUCGCCGGCUGACCUCAUUCCCCUGGAGGUCCCUGCCAGUGGCGGUGGCCCCGCUCAGCGAGACCAGCAGGAGCGGUUAGUGGUGGGGCACAAUGUAUCCUUCGACCGAGCCCACAUCCGGGAGCAGUACUUGAUCCAGGGUUCCCACAUGCGCUUCCUGGACACCAUGAGCAUGCACAUGGCCAUCUCAGGGCUGAGCAGCUUCCAGCGCAGUCUGUGGAUGGCCGCCAAGCAGGGCAAGCACAAGGCCCGGCCCCCUGCUCAACGAGGCCCAAAGUCCCAGAGCAGAGCCAACGGCCCAAUGAUCUCGUCCUGGGACUGGCUGGACAUCAGCAGUGUCAAUAACCUGGCAGACGUGCACGGCCUCUAUGUUGGGGGGCCUCGCCUGGAGAAGGAGCCCCGUGAGCUGUUCGUCAAGGGCAACAUGAAGGACAUCCGUGAGAACUUCCAGGACCUGAUGCAGUACUGUGCCCAGGACGUGUGGGCCACCUAUGAGGUUUUCCAGCAGCAGCUUCCGCUCUUCCUGGAGAGGUGUCCCCACCCGGUGACUCUGGCUGGCAUGUUGGAGAUGGGUGUCUCCUACCUGCCCGUCAACCAGAACUGGGAGCGUUACCUGGCGGAGGCACAGGGCACCUACGAGGAGCUCCAGCGGGAGAUGAAGAAGUCGCUGAUGGACCUGGCCAACGACGCCUGCCAGUUGCUCUCGGGAGAGAGGUACAAAGAGGACCCCUGGCUCUGGGACCUGGAGUGGGACGUGCAGGAGUUCAAGCAGAAGAAGGCGAAGAAGGGGAAGAGGAGGGAGCCGGCCGCAGCCAGCAAGUUGCCUGUUGAGGGGGCUGACGCCCCUGGGGACCCCAGGGAUCAGGAAGACCCCGGCCCCCCCAGUGAGGAGGAAGAGUUCCAGCGAGGCGUCACAGCCCGCACCUGCUUGGAGCAGCUGAGGGGGACCACAGAGCUCCUGCCCCAGCGGCCCCAGCACCUUCCUGGACACCCAGGGUGGUAUCGGAAGCUGUGUCCCCGGCUCGAUGACCCUGCGUGGACCCCUGGCCCCAGUCUCCUCAGCCUCCAGAUGCGGGUCACACCUAAGCUCAUGGCGCUGACCUGGGACGGCUUCCCCCUGCACUACUCGGAGCAGCAUGGCUGGGGCUACCUGGUGCCUGGGCGGCGGGACAACCUGGCUCAGAUGCCGGCCGGCAGUGCCCCCACAUCAGCUGGGGUGGCCUGCCCCCACACAGCCAUCGAGUCCCUGUACAGGAAGCACUGUCUUGAACAGGGGAAGCAGCAGCUGGAGCCGCCGCGGGCAGACCUGGCCGAGGAGUUCCUGCUGUCCGACAGCGGCGCCAUGUGGCAGACGGUGGAAGAAUUGGGCUGCUUGGAAGUGGAGGCUGAGGCAAAGAUGGAGAAUUCGCGAGAGGCAGUUCCAGGUCAACCGCUAGCUCCGACUGCUGCUGGUGGCCCCAAAGCCAGCCAGCCAGCUUAUCACCAUGGCAACGGACCCUAUAACGACGUGGAUAUCCCUGGCUGCUGGUUCUUCAAGCUGCCUCACAAGGAUGGCAAUAGCUGCAAUGUGGGCAGCCCCUUCGCCAAAGACUUCCUGCCCAAGAUGGAGGACGGCAGCCUGCAGGCUGGCCCGGGAGGCGCCAGCGGGCCCCGGGCCUUGGAAAUCAAUAAGAUGAUCUCAUUUUGGAGGAACGCCCAUAAGCGUAUCAGCUCCCAGAUGGUGGUGUGGCUGCCCCGGUCUGCGCUGCCCCGGGCUGUGACCAGGCAUGCCAACUACGAUGAGGAAGGCCGCUACGGGGCUAUCCUGCCCCAGGUGGUGACGGCCGGCACCAUCACUCGACGGGCCGUGGAGCCCACGUGGCUCACUGCCAGCAAUGCCCGGCCUGACCGCGUAGGCAGUGAGUUGAAGGCCAUGGUGCAGGCCCCGCCCGGUUACGUCCUCGUGGGUGCCGACGUGGACUCCCAGGAGCUAUGGAUCGCAGCUGUGCUAGGAGACGCCCACUUUGCCGGCAUGCACGGCUGCACGGCCUUCGGCUGGAUGACCCUGCAGGGUAGGAAGAGCAGGGGCACUGAUCUGCACAGCAAGACAGCGGCCACCGUGGGCAUCAGCCGCGAGCAUGCCAAGAUCAUCAACUACGGCCGCAUCUAUGGGGCCGGGCAGCCCUUUGCUGAGCGCCUGCUCAUGCAGUUCAACCACCGACUCACGCGGCAGGAGGCAGCUGAGAAGGCCCAGCAGAUGUAUGCGGUCACCAAGGGCCUCCGCCGGUACCGGCUGUCAGAUGAGGGUGAGUGGCUGGUGAAGGAGUUGGAACUCCCUGUGGACAGGACCGAGGAUGGCUGGGUUUCCCUGAAGGAUCUGCGCAAGAUCCAGAGAGAAGCUUCGAAGAAAUCUCGAUGGAAAAAGUGGGAGGUGGUUGCUGAGCGAGCCUGGAUCGGGGGCACAGAGUCAGAAAUGUUCAACAAGCUGGAGAGCAUUGCCACAUCUGACAUACCGAGUACCCCGGUGCUGGGCUGCCGAAUCAGCCGGGCCCUGGAACCCUGUGCUGUCCGAGGGGAGUUUAUGACCAGCCGAGUGAACUGGGUGGUGCAGAGUUCCGCGGUGGACUACCUGCACCUCAUGCUUGUGGCCAUGAAGUGGCUGUUCGAGGAGUUUGCCAUUGACGGGCGCUUCUGCAUCAGCAUCCACGAUGAGGUUCGCUACCUGGUGCGGGAGGAGGACCGAUACCGCGCAGCCCUCGCCCUGCAAAUCACCAACCUCCUGACCAGUUCCAUGUUGAUCUGCUACUAAGAACCAGUUUGGGAACCGUGGCCUGUCCUGAUUAAUGGGUAUAUAAUGAAUGUUUACAAUGAUCACUACUGUUGCCCUCAUCUUCUGACCAAAGUGGGAAAAAAGGUGUGUUUUGAGUCCACAGUUGUACGUGAGUAUCUCAGCAGGAGGUGUUGGGCUGCUGGGUGGAGGGCCGUGCUAGCCCUUCAGCUUUCUUUGCUUGAACAGAGUUGGCUGGGCAGGCCCUGCAGGUUAUCUCCUGGAGAGACGGGCCUUUGUUAUAGCAGGGACACGACUGUUGAAAGGAGAUGGGGUCUCUUUCAGGUGCAUGUUUGCCCACAAGCUGGGCCUGAAUGACCUGCCCCAGUCAGUCGCGUUUUUCAGUGCAGUUGAUAUUGACCAGUGCCUCAGGAAGGAAGUGACCAUGGAUUGUAAAACCCCUUCUAACCCAACUGGGAUGGAAAGGCGAUAUGGGAUUCCCCAGGGUGAAGCGCUGGAUAUUUACCAGAUAAUUGAACUCACCAAAGGCUCCCUGGAGAAAUGAAGCCAGCCUGGACUAUAGCCCUGCCUGGAGGCUCUGUAUUUGCUCCUAUGGAGCUUCAUCGGGGCAGCGCAGGCUCCUAAAACUCAGGCUUUCAGCUCUGCUUUUUGCAAAAGGGCUGGCCUGAGGCCAGCCAUUUUUCAGUAGCACGGCCUGCCAAGAAUGACUGCCUCUGAACUGAAGGUGCAGUUGAGUUCAGAACCAAGAUGCCAACGAGGUGCAGGCAGUAGGACAAGGGGGCAUUGUUGCUUGUUGGGUAAAAAGAAAGCAGAAUCCCCAAAGUUCACAUUAACUCAGGCAUUUCUUUUCUUUUUUCCUUUUCUUCUUGGCUGGUUCUUUGUUCUGCCCCUCAUGCUCUGAUGCAGUGCCCUAGAAGGAAGGGGAGAGAAGUAACGCUGUAAUGUGAGAAGCCUGUUCAGAGGCAGUGGAAAUAAAAGCAGAAAUCCUUUAUCUUCUCAUCAAA